AGCUUUUUUCCCCCCUACCCCUAAUCUUUGACACUGGAAGGACAAUUAACUAACUGCUUUCUUAAUUUGCUUCAAGUUCACUGAAUCAAAAGUGUUACUUAUAGGACUCUCAAGAUCCUAAAUAAUAAGAAAGACCUCAGAUGCCAUCUGAUUAAACUACCUUAUUUUACUAAUGAGGAAAUCAAGGUGCAAGGAGUUUGUAUCUUAUCCAAGAUCACACUGGUAGUAAGUAUGUCAGUUGUUUCUGUCAUGUUUGGCUCUUUGGGACACCAUUUGGAGUUUUUUGAUUUCAGAUCUCAUCCAGGAUCCUCAGCAAGAGUCAAAGAUCUGAUGCAAUCAGCAUCAUGUUAUCUGCAAACAGAGGUUGGGUCCAAAAGACCUCCCAGAGGAAAUCCUUCUUCUUCCAAGAGAGAGGUAAACACUGUAGCAAUGCUGAGUUCUAUAAGAAAUCUCAAGACACAUGGAGUAGAUGGAGUCCUUGUGGAGAACCUGAAGGAAGAGAUGAAUGGGAGUUAAAAGAUGUGAAGACUUCCAUGUGUCCAGUCUUAAUCAUUAGGAAGAGUAGUCAUAUUGGUAAGGCCAUUGAUCCAUUGAAGUAGUC
rnacentral:lncRNA from 1 species